rnacentral:rRNA from 1 species
GAUGAACGCUGGCGGCGUGCCUAAUACAUGCAAGUCGAGCGAACAGACGAGGAGCUUGCUCCUCUGACGUUAGCGGCGGACGGGUGAGUAACACGUGGAUAACCUACCUAUAAGACUGGGAUAACUUCGGGAAACCGGAGCUAAUACCGGAUAAUAUAUUGAACCGCAUGGUUCAAUAGUGAAAUACGGUUUUGCUGUCACUUAUAGAUGGAUCCGCGCCGCAUUAGCUAGUUGGUAAGGUAACGGCUUACCAAGGCAACGAUGCGUAGCCGACCUGAGAGGGUGAUCGGCCACACUGGAACUGAGACACGGUCCAGACUCCUACGGGAGGCAGCAGUAGGGAAUCUUCCGCAAAGGGCGAAAGCCUGACGGAGCAACGCCGCGUGAGUGAUGAAGGUCUUCGGAUCGUAAAACUCUGUUAUUAGGGAAGAACAAAUGUGUAAGUAACUAUGCACGUCUUGACGGUACCUAAUCAGAAAGCCACGGCUAACUACGUG